rnacentral:tRNA from 1 species
GGUGGGGUUCCCGAGCGGCCAAAGGGAGCAGACUGUAAAUCUGCCGUCAUCGACUUCGAAGGUUCGAAUCCUUCCCCCNNNNCCC